rnacentral:rRNA from 1 species
GUGGGGAAUAUUGGACAAUGGGGGGAACCCUGAUCCAGCCAUGCCGCGUGUGUGAAGAAGGCCUUUUGGUUGUAAAGCACUUUAAGCGAGGAGGAGGCUACCGAGAUUAAUACUCUUGGAUAGUGGACGUUACUCGCAGAAUAAGCACCGGCUAACUCUGUGCCAGCAGCCGCGGUAAUACAGAGGGUGCAAGCGUUAAUCGGAUUUACUGGGCGUAAAGCGCGCGUAGGUGGCCAAUUAAGUCAAAUGCGAAAUCCACGAGCGUAGCUUGGGAAUUGCAUUCGAUACUGGUUGGCUAGAGUAUGGGAGAGGAUGGUAGAAUGCCAGGUGUAGCGGUGAAAUGCGUAGAGAUCUGGAGGAAUACCGAUGGCGAAGGCAGCCAUCUGGCCUAAUACUGACACUGAGGUGCGAAAGCAUGGGGAGCAAACAGGAUUAGAAACCCCAGUAGUCC